AACGGGGCGCAGCAGGCGCGAAACCUUUACACUGCACGCCAGUGCGAUAAGGGGAUCCCGAGUGCACAGGCAUAGAGCCUGUGCUUUUCUGAACCGUAGGGAGGUUCAGGAACAAGAGCUGGGCAAGACCGGUGCCAGCCGCCGCGGUAAUACCGGCAGCUCGAGUGAUGGCCGAUCUUAUUGGGCCUAAAGCGUCCGUAGCUGGCCUUGCAAGUCCGUCGGGAAAUCCACCCGCUCAACGGGUGGGCGUCCGGCGGAAACUGUGAGGCUUGGGACCGGGAGGCUUGAAGGGUACGUCCGGGGUAGGAGUGAAAUCCUGUAAUCCUGGACGGACCGCCGAUGGGGAAACCACGUCACGAGGACGGAUCCGACAGUGAGGGACGAAAGCUAGGGUCUCGAACCGGAUUAGAUACCCCGGUAGUCC
rnacentral:rRNA from 1 species